UGAAGUUCAAGAACGCCGACAAUCCGCUAAGACAGGCUAACAGAAUAGCCUCUGGGUUCCAAGGCCGCGAAGGAGGCGGGUGGGAGAGGCCCCACUGCCGGGUCAGAGAAACGCUCCUCACCCCAGUCCAACAGCGGCACAGAAAAGGAAAGUGAAAUUGUCUGCAGGAGACAAAAGGAAAGCCCUGUGGACAGGAGCCCCAGGCCCUGCUACUUUCCCCACCAGCUCAGGGGAGAGACGACGUUGCUGGGAUGAACAGUUGGGAAAGGAGGAACAAGGACGAGGCUGACUUGACGUGCCCCGAGCAUCAUCUCCACAUUCACCGUGUUGUCACAUCUAGAUGAUACAAACGCAUCGCGACCGCAGACUUUCCCCUCGGUCAUCUGGUAAGGCAGGUAAAAUGGGGACUAUGAUCCUUCUUUGCAGGUGAGGAAUUGUAAACCUGCUCCAACCUGCCUCACCCUCAAACGUGUUUCCGGGUAAAUUAGCCACGGAGGAUACAAGACAUCUUUGCAAAUUGAUGACUUGGAAAGAAAGAAGAGAAACUCCAUUUUAAAAAACUAGUGUUCAUGCGGGUCCGGCAGGGACUCAGUCCUGUAGGUGCGUUAUCUCAAGCAAUCCUCCCCAAACCCCCUGAGCUGGGGGCUUCAAUGUGGAGAAGAGGCAGAGGACAGAGAAGAAAGAUGCUCUUGUGGGCAGUCAGAGGCAGAGAGGGGACUACAAGGGACUCUGUCUGAAGCUAAGGUCGCUACACCUACUGUUGGGAGAAGUUGAAAUAUGGGCGACUUCUGAUUUGCUUUUGGAUUCUGAGACCCAGCUACCGCCGUGUCAAGAGGUGGUGUGACAGCAGUCACAGCUGUGGCAUGUGGUGGAGAUAUGCCCUGGGCCAGCAGCUGUUGCUAGUCUCAGAACAAUGGCCUCGUUAUUCUGCUCCGAAGGUUUGCUCGCAGUGGAGACUGACUGCCAGCGAUCACACCUGUUCAUGAUUGACCUGGUCAUGGCUGAGCCCGGCUGGAGGAGCUGGACGGUGACAGGAACCCUAGGUCCCCCUAAUGCCACCUCGGAGGAAGCCCAGCCCGUGGUCUCUGUGGCUUGGGGAACAUGAGCUAACUUGGAAGUCACUGGGAGGUCCAGGUAGGACCAGGCACGGCACUCAGAUGCUCCCUCUGCCCGAGCCUGAGUCCAGAGUGAGGCUUCGUACAAGGAGGGUGGCCGGGAGAGAAGAGGAAGAGAAAGGCAGGAGGGAUUCCAGCGAAAGAGAAGGAAGGGCCCACCGGCCGCCAUGUAUGCCUGCCCUCUUGGACCAUCUGGAAAGAAUGAAGAUUGUGCUGCUUUCAUGCCCCAUGCAGCCAGGCACGCCAGGAACAGUGAGGAGAGAGGAAGGGCGUGCGUUUACGGACGGGCAGUCUUCUUUGAGGGACUUGCUGCCUGCUGAGAUGGGUCUCUUCAACUCUCCCUCCUCCUCUGGGACCCCAGGAGGUGAGUGAUUGUCAAAUCUCAGCCUCCUCUCUCAGAUCUGCGCCAAUCUGCCCUCUCCUCUUUUCUCCCUGCUGCUGUUCAGGCCGCCCCGCUCUCUCUCAUCAGGACCAUUGCUUUGGAUAAACUUGGCUCCUCGGCUCUCAUCACUCCAUCAUCCAGGUUCCAUUCUUGGCUCAGAUCUCGGCAAGUUACUUAAAUUCCAGCUUAUGCCUCAGUUUCCUCUUUGGGUGGUUCUGAGGCUUGAGUGAGGUAGUAUGUGCCAAGGUCUUCGAGCAGAGCCCCGCACACAGCAAGUGCCAAAUGCCUGUCGGCCGUUUUUAGGAUUGCCGUUGUUUUCCCUGACAGACCGGAGCUAGCCAGCUGUUUACAAAUGUAUCUAAUCUUGUCACCUUCUGCUUUUAAAUCCAUAAAGGAGAAUUGUUCUUCAAAUGGUGCUGCAAAAGGACCAGGUUAGAUCUGCCCUGAUAACCUACACCGAAAAUGUCUGUGGAUGUGAGAGAGAGGUCAGAAUCAAAAUGACUCCAAAAAACAUGGAGAGAAAAAUAUUUAAUUGAUCUCAGCUCUGGGAAGGAAUUACUGGCAUCAAAUUAACAGAGGGAACUGUUGACGAAAAUAAUCCAUAACCAAUCUAUAAAUGAAAAUUUGGGACAGUUCCAGAGCCUUGAAGGACAGGCAACAAGAAGGGCCACCACCCUUUGAUGGACGCGGAUGUUGCCUAACGACUCAAGCCAGCAGUCAGGGGGGCAUGAUUCCCUGUUUUCAUCGUCUGUCUCCAGUGGACCAGUUUUUCAAUCAAUCACUGGCAAGUACUGGAUGCCUCUGAAGACAGCACAGGGGUGAGGGGGCGACAAGAGGUGUCCUCCCCAUCCCACCUCUGGCCACUAAGAGGAAAAACAGAGCCUAACGUCACCCUCAGAAGGUCGAACUCCAAAACCCACACCUGUCCCAGCAGAGGUCAGGCUCCCUCACCCUGGACAGCUCCCGCCUUCUCGGGCAGCCAGGACGUGCCAGACCUGAGGUGUUAGCACAUCCAGACAAUGGUCGUUCCAGUCUGGAGGCAGGUCUGGAUGCCUCCGCAGGAGAUGUUUUGCAGCUGAGGAAACUGAGGCAGAGAGAGGUGGAGGAGCUUGUCCCUCUGUGGACCCGGUGAGCAGGAGAGUCGUUCUGCAAAGCCAGACCGUCUGCACAAGAAACACAUUUAUCCACCACGCCAAUAGUUCUCAGAGUGGGGUCCGCGGCCAGCAGCAUCAGCAGCCCCUGGAACUUGGGAGGAAGGCAAGCUCUCUGGCCCCACCCAGGACCUACAGCAAUGUGGUUUCUCCUGGGGAUUCUGAUCCUUGCUCAGGGGUUUCUUUGCGGAGCACCGAUGCACUGCACGAGGCGUUGUAGGAGAGCGUGCUAAGGACGUGUGUGACUGUGACCAAACCUGAAGCCACCGCCUGCCCUCUCAGAGCCCACGAGGAAGAGCCGUGGACUCACAGCCAGCGCAUCUUGGGUCUGUGGGCAGUUUCAGAGCCUUCUUUGUGGAUACGGAGGCACGGCAUGAAGCCUGAGGCUGCUGGACGUGGGGGGCCUGGAAGGCUGUCAUCAUUUGCAAAACAUCAGGGAGCUGCCACUUAAAACCUGGGGACUCAAUCCACGGGACAGACGUGGACGGCUCUCCUGGCGGACCAGUCGUGUCUGUAAAUACUGCUAUUUACGUUUUAUUCGGGGACCUGUUCGUAAAAUUUCAAGUCAAAUAGGAGAGGAGCAAUGGCAGCUGUGUCCACCUUGAGUCUCUGCUCCAGCAUUUUGCCUAGUGGAUGAUUUUAAGAUCAAAACAGAACUAUCUGGUGCCCCAAAAUCCUGAUGCACAAGCUCCAGGCUGGGGAGCUGCCGCGGAGCCUGGAACGUGGUGCCCGGGUGGUGACAAGCUUCUCUUGACCCUCACACCUCCAGGUUGUUUCUACCCCACCCCCCACAUACUUAGACAUGGUUGUGGGAGACCCAAAGGGAAGUGU
ensembl:lncRNA